AGGGUUAGUAACUUAAUUGGUAAAGCGCGAUCCUGUCACGAACGAAGAUGUCGGUUCGAGACCGGCCUAACUC
rnacentral:tRNA from 1 species